UAAUUAUGGGAAUUGAUCAAAUCUGCCUCUCAAGGUCGUCUACAGUUCUGAAGACAGAUGACUCUGACAACUGUCAAUCCCAAACUCCCACGGGGAGGACCGUGGUUUAGAUACUGCUGUGCAGAACCACUUUUCUGAGACUUAGAUGAUGAUGUGAGCAACUCAAAGAUUCAACUCUUCAAGUUUCUGCAGGGAUGAAAAUUUGAGACAGCACAAUUUCUAACUACUGACUUACAAUACAGGAUCCUUCAACUUUAUAAUUUUCACAAAGCCUGCAUGAAUGAAGAAUAAAUAAUGAAGAAUAAAUGAAGAUUAAAGGGAUAGAAGGGAAAAAGUCUCUAAGGAGAGGUAGGUCAUGCAAUUUAAAAUAAGAUCUUAUUGAUCUAACCAAGACAGACAGAAUAGUAAGGAAAAUAUAGUUACUAAAUUAUAAUCUCAUAAUUGUCAUCACCUACACAGAGAAGGUAAUUCUUUUAUUUUUAAAUUUAUUUAUUAUUAUCAUAAUCUUGUUUAUAUUACAUUGAAUCACAUAUAACUUUACAGUGUAUUCCAUUGCUUUUUCAAAAGGGAAUGCCAUGCAUGUCAGUCAAU